UACCAUGCAGUCGAACGGUGAAGCAGGAGCUUGCUCUUGUGGAUCAGUGGCGAACGGGUGAGUAACACGUGAGCAACCUGCCCCGGACUCUGGGAUAAGCGCUGGAAACGGCGUCUAAUACUGGAUACGAGUAGCGACCGCAUGGUCAGCUAUUGGAAAGAAUUUCGGUCUGGGAUGGGCUCGCGGCCUAUCAGCUUGUUGGUGAGGUAAUGGCUCACCAAGGCGUCGACGGGUAGCCGGCCUGAGAGGGUGACCGGCCACACUGGGACUGAGACACGGCCCAGACUCCUACGGGAGGCAGCAGUGGGGAAUAUUGCACAAUGGGCGCAAGCCUGAUGCAGCAACGCCGCGUGAGGGAUGACGGCCUUCGGGUUGUAAACCUCUUUUAGUAGGGAAGAAGCGAAAGUGACGGUACCUGCAGAAAAAGCGCCGGCUAACUACGUGCCAGCAGCCGCGGUAAUACGUAGGGCGCAAGCGUUAUCCGGAAUUAUUGGGCGUAAAGAGCUCGUAGGCGGUUUGUCGCGUCUGCUGUGAAAUCUGGGGGCUCAACCCCCAGCCUGCAGUGGGUACGGGCAGACUAGAGUGCGGUAGGGGAGAUUGGAAUUCCUGGUGUAGCGGUGGAAUGCGCAGAUAUCAGGAGGAACACCGAUGGCGAAGGCAGAUCUCUGGGCCGUAACUGACGCUGAGGAGCGAAAGGGUGGGGAGCAAACAGGCUUAGAUACCCUGGUAGUCCAC
rnacentral:rRNA from 1 species